rnacentral:rRNA from 1 species
GACGUAGGUGGCGAACGUUAUCCGGAAUUAUUGGGCGUAAAGGGUGCGUAGGCGGCAUGAUAAGUUAUUGGCGGCAAAUCGAGGCUCAACCUCGUGGAAACUGAUAAUACUGUCUUGCUUGAGUGCAAAGAAGGUGUAACGGAACUCCAUGUGGAGCGGUAAAAUGUGUAGAUAUAUGGAAGAACAUCAAUAACGGCGAAGGCAGUUAACUAUUCUGUUACUGACGUUGAGGCACGAAAGCGUGGGGAGCAAAAAGG